rnacentral:rRNA from 1 species
UACAGAGGGUGCGAGCGUUGUUCGGAAUUACUGGGCGUAAAGCGCGCGCAGGCGGCCUUUUAAGUCUGACGGUGAAAUGCCGGGGCUCAACCCCGUGCCCGCCGCGGAUACUGGGAGGCUGGAGACGAGUAGAGGCAAGCGGAAUUCCGGGUGUAGCGGUGGAAUGCGUAGAGAUCCGGAAGAACACCGGAGGCGAAGGCGGCUUGCUGGGCUCGGUCUGACGCUGAGGCGCGAAAGCAUGGGGAGCGAACAGG